rnacentral:lncRNA from 1 species
UGGAUAUCGGGCUUUGCUUACAGAGAAGUCACAGUGUUCUAAGUACAAAUCAGCUGUUAUAGACAACAAUAAGAAUUUCUACAAGUUGCUUUGGGAAUUACAGCUUCCCUCUAAACUAAAAAUUCACAUGUGGAGAUUGAUUAAUGACUAUGUGCCUCAUUUCACUAAUCUACUCAAGCGGCGACUUUGUGUUGACAAUGCUUGUCCUUUGUGCAAGGAGUCUCCGGAGGAUUCUGAUCACUUAUUGUGGUACUGUGAUAUUCUACGACAACUGUGGCACUUUUUGAAUAUUCCAAUCGCUCUCAUCAGGAACACAUUGGAUUGCAAGAAUCAAGUUGUAAGUUUUUUUAUUGAAACAGAUGAAAGUACAAGGAAAUUGUUAAUCAUUGCAUUUUAGGCUCUUUGGUUUAAACGAAACAAGGCCGUUCACGAAGGUCUAAAUUUUUCUUUGCAGGAUAUUUUGAUGUUUGUUCAAAGGUAUACACAGGAGUUAAGGUUGAGUUAUGCUACUGUUGGUCAGCCUAGUAAUAAAGGGAAAUAAAUUUGGCAACCUCCCAACCCUGGGGUUAUUAAAUUAAAUUUUGUCACCUCUUUUAAUAGUGAUUCUAAUUCUUCUAUUGCUUCUAUUAUUGCUCGAAAUGCAGAGGAUAAAAUAAUGGGUGCAUGCACUUACCCUUAUAAAGCUGUUGUAGAUGCCUUUGUUGUAGAAGCUAGGGCUUGUGAGCGGGCUAUCCUGUUUGCUAUUUCCAUGGGUUUCAGGUCGGUUCUUCUGGAAGGAGAUUCUUUAACUACUAUUAUAAAACUCAGUUCUAGUAGGGAAGAUAGAUCUAUACUCAGGCCAAUUUCACAGCAUAUUCGAAUAUUGGAAGGCCAAUUUGAGAAGUGUCUUACUAUUUCGUUCCGCGUGGUGUUAAUAAAGCGGCUCACUCAUUGGCUAUGGAGGGGCGUGGACGAUCUUUGGCAUGCUUUUGGGUUGAAGAAAUUCCUGCUUCUGUGGAGAAAAUAGUGGAGGCGGACUGGGCUUGCUGUCUUUGUCAUCAGUAAGGAGGUUUUCAGCUUUGUGGGUUGGAGAAGGUUCUUGCGAAUCUCCAAUGGUGGUUGUUUCAAUGCUUUUUUCUUUCUAGAUCUUUGAUUGUUUUGAGGCUCUGUUUUGCUUGGAAAGGUUUCGGCUGCUGAUAUUCUCUUGGGAAGUUUUGGGGAAUGGGUUUGGGGUUUGAUAGUGGUUUUUUUUUGUGUGCUGUUUACCUGUUUUGUAUUGGUUUUUUUCCUACUUUUGUUGUCGUUUCAUGUUUUCCUUGUGUUUUUUUUUGUCAGUCUUAGUUGUACCUAUCCC